rnacentral:rRNA from 1 species
AGUGAACGCUGGCGGUAGGCCUAACACAUGCAAGUCGAACGGCAGCACAGUAAGAGCUUGCCCUUACGGGUGGCGAGUGGCGGACGGGUGAGGAAUACAUCGGAAUCUACUUUUUCGUGGGGGAUAACGUAGGGAAACUUACGCUAAUACCGCAUACGACCUACGGGUGAAAGCAGGGGAUCUUCGGACCUUGCGCGAUUGAAUGAGCCGAUGUCGGAUUAGCUAGUUGGCGGGGUAAAGGCCCACCAAGGCGACGAUCCGUAGCUGGUCUGAGAGGAUGAUCAGCCACACUGGAACUGAGACACGGUCCAGACUCCUACGGGAGGCAGCAGUGGGGAAUAUUGGACAAUGGGCGCAAGCCUGAUCCAGCCAUGCCGCGUGGGUGAAGAAGGCCUUCGGGUUGUAAAGCCCUUUUGUUGGGAAAGAAAAGCAGCAGGUUAAUACCCCGCUGUUCUGACGGUACCCAAAGAAUAAGCACCGGCUAACUUCGUG